GGAUGUCAUGCAGGAGAACUACGAGAACGUGACCUCGCUGGGGUUUCCAGUUUCCAAACCUGAUGUGAUCUCGCAGCUAGAACGAGGGGAAGAGACGUGGGUCCCAGACUUCCAGGCCUCUGAGAAAGAAGUGCUCCCGAGGGCUGCCUGCACAGGGAGUGACCUAUGCCUGGAUUCGCUCUGUCUCCCAUCAGGUGAU